rnacentral:rRNA from 1 species
UACGGAGGGUGCAAGCGUUAUCCGGAUUCACUGGGUUUAAAGGGUGCGUAGGUGGGUUGGUAAGUCCGUGGUGAAAUCCCUGAGCUUAACUCAGGAACUGCCGUGGAUACUAUCAAUCUUGAAUACUGUGGAGGUAAGCGGAAUAUGUCAUGUAGCGGUGAAAUGCUUAGAUAUGACAUAGAACACCAAUUGCGAAGGCAGCUUGCUACACGGUUAUUGACACUGAGGCACGAAAGCGUGGGGAUCAAACAGG